rnacentral:rRNA from 1 species
CAACGAGCGCAACCCUUAUCAUAGUUGCUACGCUAAGGGCACUCUAAUGAGACUGCCGGUGACAAACCGGAGGAAGGUGGGGAUGACGUCAAGUCCUCAUGGCCCUUAUGGGUAGGGCUUCACACGUCAUACAAUGGUCGGUACAGAGGGUUGCCAAGCCGCGAGGCGGAGCCAAUCCCACAAAGCCGGUCGUAGUCCGGAUCGCAGUCUGCAACUCGACUGCGUGAAGUCGGAAUCGCUAGUAAUCGCGGAUCAGCAUGUCGCGGUGAAUACGUUCCCGGGUCUU